rnacentral:tRNA from 1 species
GGAGAGAUGUCUGAGUGGCUUAAGGAGCACGCUUGGAAAGCGUGUGUGUGGGUAACUGCACCGAGGGUUCAAAUCCCUCUCUCUCCGCCA